GUUUAAAUGCUCCGCGUGACAGGCGUGAUGGCAGUUCGCAUCACGGCAAAGGUUCAAAAAAAAGGCUGCCGAUGACUCGAUAUUCAUCAAGGAACAUGAAAUUCAACAUUCAUCAUCGAAGUCGUCGCAACGCUCCUGUACCAGUCUGGGACAGAGUGCCACGGGAGGCAUCUGGACUCUGGCAGCACCGUUGCUGUUCACCUCUCAUACAGCGUGUAAAAAGCCGAUUAUACGCAAUUAGCCAGCGAAGUCGUCAGAAGCGCAGUGGAGGGAAGGUGACGGUGGUGGAGGGAAUGGAGGGUAUGUUGGUGUGUCCCCUCGGGGGCUACCCUCCCCCUUCCAUUUCAUGGGCAAGGGAUAACAUCAGGCUGUCGCAUGG